rnacentral:sRNA from 1 species
UGCGCAGGCCCCACGUGCGCUGACCUCUGCCGCUGCCCACAGGUCAUCCACAGCACCGUGGUGGACACGUCUGUGCUCUUCCCCCACCGCCUGGGCCUCCCCUACAAGCGGUCCCUGCGGAACCUCAUGGCCGACUACCUCAGACAGAUCAUCCAGGACAAUGGUGAGUGCCGGUGCCUGCCCUGGGGCCGUCCCUGCGUGGGGGCUGGGUGCUCACCGCAUCUGCCCUGCAGUGGACGGGCACAGCUCCAGCGAGGACGCCGGCGCCUGCAUGCACCUGGUGAUCUGGAAGGUUCGAGAAGACGCCAAGACCAAGCGAUGACGCCUGCCCGCCUCCCACCCGCCUCUC